rnacentral:rRNA from 1 species
UUAACACAUGCAAGUCGAACGGGAAUUACUUUAUUGAAACUUCGGUCGAUUUAAUUUAAUUCUAGUGGCGGACGGGUGAGUAACGCGUGGGUAACCUGCCUUAUACAGGGGGAUAACAGUCAGAAAUGGCUGCUAAUACCGCAUAAGCGCACAGAGCUGCAUGGCUCAGUGUGAAAAACUCCGGUGGUAUAAGAUGGACCCGCGUUGGAUUAGCUAGUUGGUGGGGUAACGGCCCACCAAGGCGACGAUCCAUAGCCGGCCUGAGAGGGUGAACGGCCACAUUGGGACUGAGACACGGCCCAGACUCCUACGGGAGGCAGCAGUGGGGAAUAUUGCACAAUGGGGGAAACCCUGAUGCAGCGACGCCGCGUGAAGGAAGAAGUAUCUCGGUAUGUAAACUUCUAUCAGCAGGGAAGAUAGUGACGGUACCUGACUAAGAAGCCCCGGCUAACUACGUGCCAGCAGCCGCGGUAAUACGUAGGGGGCAAGCGUUAUCCGGAUUUACUGGGUGUAAAGGGAGCGUAGACGGUGUGGCAAGUCUGAUGUGAA